CACGGGGGGAGCAAGCGUUGUUCGGAAUCACUGGGCGUAAAGGGCGUGUAGGCGGUCAGGUAAGUGAGAUGUGAAAUGCCCCGGCUCACCCGGGGACCGGCAUCUCAUACUGCUUGGCUUGAGUACGGGAGAGGAUGUGGGAAUUCCUGGUGUAGCGAUGAAAUGCGUAGAUAUCGGGAGGAACACCAGUGGCGAAGGCGACUACCUGGCCUGUUCUUGACGCUGAGGCGCGAAAGCUAGGGGAGCAAACGGG
rnacentral:rRNA from 1 species